AAGUCGUAAGGUUUCCGUGCGGAAGGAUCAUUAACACGUAUCCAACGUUUAACCACCCCGUGCACCUUCAUUGAAACCCUACGUUAACACGAAUUGCCUGGCGGAAAAACGGAUCGGGAUCGCAACUCACACGAGGUGUAUAGAUGGACCCAAGGAAGAUCGUGGAAGCGUUGGCGGACCUUGAUUCCUUGACUUCGCGUCUCGGGUUGCCGUAGACUUCACCUUUUGUGGUUGGGAGUACGAAUUGUUUUCUCGAACGGUUUCGGGUUGGCGUAUCCCCGCGUGUCUGGCCCACAGCGGAACAACCUCACAAAAAAACCCUACCGAUGCGGGUUCAGGUGUCGGAAACCCCGAACAACUGUUAGCAAUGGAUAUCUC
rnacentral:misc_RNA from 1 species